CCUACGGGAGGCAGCAGUGAGGAAUAUUGGUCAAUGGACGAGAGUCUGAACCAGCCAAGUAGCGUGAAGGAUGACUGCCCUAUGGGUUGUAAACUUCUUUUAUAUGGGAAUAAAACGUUCCACGUGUGGGAUUUUGUAUGUACCAUAUGCAUAAGGAUCGGCUAACUCCGUGCCAGCAGCCGCGGUAAUACGGAGGAGCCGAGCGUUAUCCGGAUUUAUUGGGUUUAAAGGGGGCGUAGGUGGCUUUUUAAGUCAGUUGUGAAAGUUUGCGGCUCAACCGUAAAAUUGCAGUUGAAACUGGCAGUCUUGAGUACAGUAGAGGUGGGCGGAAUUCGUGGUGUAGCGGUGAAAUGCUUAGAUAUCACGAAGAACUCCGAUUGCGAAGGCAGUUCACUGGACUGCAACUGACACUGAGGCUCGAAAGUGUGGGUAUCAAACAGGAUUAGAUACCCCUGUAGUC
rnacentral:rRNA from 1 species